UACAGAGGGUGCAAGCGUUAUUCGGAAUUAUUGGGCGUAAAGCGCAUGUAGGUGGUUUGGUAAGUCUGAUGUGAAAGCCCCGGACUCAAUUCGGGAAGUGCAUUGGAUACUGCUAGACUAGAGUAUGGGAGAGGUGAGCGGAAUUCCAGGUGUAGAGGUGAAAUUCGUAGAUAUCUGGAGGAACAACAGAGGCGAAGGCGGCUCACUGGACCAUAACUGACACUGAGAUGCGAAAGCGUGGGGAGCAAACAGG
rnacentral:rRNA from 1 species